rnacentral:rRNA from 1 species
AACGAACGCUGGCGGCAUGCCUAACACAUGCAAGUCGAACGAGACCUUCGGGUCUAGUGGCGCACGGGUGCGUAACGCGUGGGAACCUGCCUUUAGGUUCGGAAUAACAGUGAGAAAUUACUGCUAAUACCGGAUAAUGUCUUCGGACCAAAGAUUUAUCGCCUUUAGAUGGGCCCGCGUAAGAUUAGCUAGUUGGUGGGGUAAAGGCCUACCAAGGCGACGAUCUUUAGCUGGUCUGAGAGGAUGAUCAGCCACACUGGGACUGAGACACGGCCCAGACUCCUACGGGAGGCAGCAGUGGGGAAUAUUGGACAAUGGGCGAAAGCCUGAUCCAGCAAUGCCGCGUGAGUGAUGAAGGCCUUAGGGUUGUAAAGCUCUUUUACCCGAGAUGAUAAUGACAGUAUCGGGAGAAUAAGCUCCGGCUAACUCCGUGCCAGCAGCCGCAGUAACAC